UACGGGGGGGGUAAGCGUUGUUUGGAAUUACUGGGCGUAAAGGGCUCGUAGGCGGCCAACUAAGUCGGACGUGAAAUCCCUCAGCUUAACUGGGGAACUGCGUCUGAUACUGGAUGGCUUGGAUUUGGGAGAGGGAUGCGGAAUUCCAGGUGUAGCGGUGAAAUGCGUAGAUAUCUGGAGGAACACCGGUGGCGAAGGCGGCAUCCUGGACCAACACUGACGCUGAGGAGCGAAAGCCAGGGGAGCAAACGGG
rnacentral:rRNA from 1 species